UCUCUAAGCAAUGGAUGUCUUGGCUCCUCACACGAUGAAGAACGUGGCAUAAUGUGUUAAGUAACCGGAGUUGCAAACAUCAUGACAGGUUAAUCUUUGAAUGCAAAUUGCGCUUUCCCGGCUUCGGCCGAGGAGCAUGCGUGUAACAGUACAACA
rnacentral:rRNA from 1 species